AAUUUUCAAAGAUAUUUUGGACAUUUCAUGACGUGAUAUCUAUAGGAACUGGUUUGGCAGGGAGGCAGAAAAUGUGGUAUAACUUAAAUUAGUCAUUUCUUUUCUUAAAAACCUAAUUACAAAGGAGGCAGAAGCUACCUCCUCUUCCUUGUUGAAUCCUACAUAUUAUUAAGAGUGGGUGAUACUGUCCCUACAGCUGUCUCUGAAUAUGAAGUUCAAUAUUUGGCCGCCAGGUGUCUCGAAACUUUCUAAUUUAAUAUUAUCUCAGUGAUAAAAAACUGAAAAUUCUAUUCUUAAAAUAAUUUGUACUAUCCAAAACAAAUAAGAUGAUAAAAAUUCAACUAUUGGUAUUGGGAUGUAAGAUUAUUUAAUAAUUUUUCACGUUCAGUUCCCUUAUAUUUAUAAAUAGAUUGUGUGACAAGCUGUGUCUAUGAACGUUUGGUAUGGAAAUCACAGAUCAGGGCUAUUAGGACUGCAGUGAAUGAAGCGACAUUGGACUGAUACAAAUUCUGUUCGGAAACUCUAGAAAAAAAGACGACCUUUAGACUCAAUUUAUGACUUAAAAUCAUCCAUUGAACAUGAGACACAGUAAUUGUGCAGUGUAAACAGACACAUCUCGCUUUAUAGGUGAUUUAAUAAGUUACUUUUGAAACCAUUGGAUUUGUAACAAUGUAAAAUACAGUUAAUUAUUGCUUUAAUGUUGUCCUCCUGUUUCACAUUUUUCUGGUUCUGACUCUUGAUAAUUUUAUUUAUAAAAAUAUUUUUGUAAAUGUAAAUUAGGUUGUAACCCAUCCAGAUGUAACAGAGUCUGAUGCUCCAGUUACCCUUUUUACCCAUCUAGGGGUUCCAUAAUUCAGAACAAAAGUUCCUAGCCAUCUAGUUAGAUUACUGUAUAAUACUUACUUUAUUUUUCGUUUUCGUUAUUUAAUAAUAAUUAAAAAGAAACUAAUUCUGAAAACGUAUCCACCCCCGAAGUAGGAGUUUUGAACGUCUAAUUUGCGCACAAACUUAAAGUUUAAUAUGCUUCAAAUGAAUCCGUAAAAAGUUUUCCACAACACUGCAUGCUCAGUUCGACUAUCUUACAUAGCCGGUCACUCCCUUUAAGCAUUAUAAAACAAACUUAGUGGAGGGUUGGCAUGGUUAAGGGGACCCUGUUUCCUUGAUUUCCACGUAAUAAAAGAUGACAUCUUGCAUAUUUUUAAAAAAAUAAAAUAUAUAUAAUAAAAUAAAUCUAGUAGAUGCCAGCAAAUAAAAGAUGAAGUGACAAAAAUAAAUUUUAAAAACUAAACAAAACAGAUGCUUUUUGGAAAAAGAAGAAUUUGAGCUUGAAAAAAGAGAUAUAUUUUGAACUGUGAAGAUUUUCUGAAGGUCUGAAAAUACAGAUUCCACAAAACAGUUCAUCCGUCACUUUUUUCUGAACGGACUUCCAUAAUGCAUUCACAAAUAAAAUUUGGUUUAACCUACAGCCUUCAUGUCAAUAAUGAUAAAACAAUAAAGGAGUGAGGAAACCAAUUUUUAAAUUUUUAGCAACCAUAUAAUCGUAUUUUUAGAAACCAUAUAAGUUGCUGGAUUCAUUAUUCAAACUAAUAUUAGAAGCAACACUCUUGAAUUGCCAAGCACAAAAUACCCCUGGUCAUGGCAUUUCCAAAAUGUAGUCUGCCAUUUUCUUGCUUUUAAAAUUACAUACAGACUGUGUGAACACAUAGCUCAUUCCCAGCUGACAUUACUGAUUUUUUUCGUUUAAAUCAAAGAAUUUUUUCUGUCUCAUGUCUAGAGAGUAAAUAUCAAUAUUUUGAAUUAUAAUAGCUUGUAAACAACGUGUUUAACAAUCACAAGUGUUACUAAAGAUUAACUUGAUCAGUCAAAUGUUUAAAGGGUACUGUUGUGAAUCAUACAGGCCACUCUAGAGUCUUUAUAAAGUAUGCCUACUGUCAUAAUAAUGCUCCUUGGUUAGUUUUAUUUAUCAUGAUUAUCUGACGAUCUACUGCCUAUUAUUGUGCAUAUAUUCUACAUUUUGAUUUGUAUAAAGAACACAGAUGGUACUAACAUUUUGUUUACUAUUUAAAGUUCACUAAAUGCUCUUUACUUUGAUCUUGGCACCAGAUUAUUGAUCUCCUUAUCUCUUUACGUCUUAUAUAAAAACCCUAAUUCUAACUGUUAAUUUAAUUUUUUUUUAAUAAUCAUUUAUUUUUUAGUUUUAAGAUCCAUGAGUUAUAAUAUUGUGAAGAUAUAUAAAGAAAUCAACUAGUUGAAGAAAAGAAAUACCAAGAAAUAUCCCAAGAUAUCCAGCAAUCUCAGCAAACAAAGACAAUUCUAAGCAUAAAUAUAGCUUUAUAGGGAUCAAGGGUACUGCUAAUUGACAGCAUACAUAAUUUUGAUUAAUCAUUUAAUGAUUUGCAGGCCUGAAUUACAAAAGUACCCUAAAAACCUUUAUAUUAGCAAGAAUGGCAAAGAUAUCUUAAAAUUAGAUUGAAUUCUGUCAAUCUUAUUUUUAUUUUCUAUGACUAAAUCUUUAAGUCACUUAAAUUGAACAACCACAAUUUUCAAAUAGAAGAUAUGCAAACAAAUAGUCUUUCCUUCCAAACAAUACUUUUCCAAGUGGCAAGUUCCCAACUGUGUAAUUUCUCAAGCAGCAACUUCUCAAGUCUGUCCUAGCCUGUUCUAGCCGAAGCACCCAGUUCUGUAGCCAAUCCUAAUCACAGCACUCGGUCCCCCUGUUGCAGCCAGCAGUGCCUUUAAAGGGCAAAGGCCUAACCUAACCUUUUGGAAGUUUUUGGCUAGGUAAAUCGCACAUUUGUGAAGUUGCUCUUGGUAUAUUGUCACUUUGGAAUGCCCCAUUGGGAAAGUGCCGCUGGGGUUCACCUAAAAUUAAUUUACCUAACAAGGAAAAGUAAUUUAAUCAACAAUCAAUUUACCUGUAUAUGCUUGAGUUUGCUCUAUAAUCUGGUAUUUUUCUGAAUAUUGAAGACGAAUAAGAACUCUCCUCUUGGUAUAUACUGCUCCAUUUUCUCCAGUUAGGGUUUCAUUCCCUUUAGACUUCUCGAUAACUGUCUCCUUAAAUGUAAACUCUCCUGCAGUACACGGAGGGGUGUAGAUCUGUUCAAAAGCUUUUCCAAUAAACAUAUGUGCUAAACAUAAAUGAGAUAUUUUAAUAUCUAUUAUAAAUACUCCUCAUAUCCCUAAUUAUGGGAUUAGGAUAAGGAAUACAACAAAGUCAAUCUUUCCGCUCAAAGAUGUUUCAAUAAUCAUGAAAAAUAAAAGCUAAAAGGUGUACUUAUUUCAGCCGUUUUUGAUUUUGUAGAUAGCUUUACAAGCAUAUGUAUAUAAAGUACAAUACAUAGGUCAAAGGCGUAAAGACUUAAAACGCAGUAUACAGUAUAUACAAUACAUAUUUUAAAUUUUGGAAAUAAUUAUUAUUUUUCAGUCGAACCAAUUAUUAUGUGACAUCUCACAUGAUUGACCAAAGGUAGGUUAAUGGCUUGUCUUGAAACUGAAAACUUUUGCCUGGAAUUCUUUUGGGGGGAUUUUAGAAAUCUUUUAAUGCUUCCAGAAAAAUGUGCAAACAUUUGAGAUUUUGAAUUAUAAAGAAGUAAUAGUGGCUUGAAAAGCAACAAUAAUUCCUAAAUUAAAUACAAUAAGUGGAACGCAUAUUGCUAUGGAAGCCUAGUUAUCUAUUUUUAUCUAGUGGUGAUCUUUGUUUGGAUAUGUGUUUGUGGACUUAUUUAUAGAAAAUUAGUUGUCAGGAAAGAUAGGUUUCCAACCUAGAACUUUCCUUAGUUUCAUGUUUUUUUCUUUUUUUAUUUACAUAUUGAACUGUAUACAAAAUUGUCAAAAAACAAAUUUAAAAUGAAUAACUGUUAACUACAUAUAGUUCUGUAUAAAAUACCUAUUGCGUUGAGCACUCCUGUGUUGCAAGGUAUAGAUGUUUUUGUAUUGAAGUAAGGUGGCUCACAUCCAAACUUCUGGAUCAUCAAGGUCUAAAAAAGUUAGUUAAAAACUCAGGAAGCAUUGGAAUAAAAUGUUAAUUUAAAAAUAAGCUCCUUUAAUUUAUCAUUGUACUUCUCGUGGAUACAAGGAUUCCUUUUUGUGUUACGGUUUUUCAUGAUCAGCAUAUUAAUGUCAUCUAUCCAAAUAUAGGUCUCUGGAUACUUUAGUUGUACUAUUUUCAGGUGAUACUUAGUUUCCAAACAUCUAUAUUCAUAACCAGGGAACCCUAGGCAUAUGCUAAUAGAUUCAUUCUUCUCUUCUGGAACAUAGUAUGUAAUUUGGAAUGUGGCCUCUUUGACAUUCAGCGAUAUCAGUUCAUCAUAUAUGAAGCAUUUUUUAUUCUUCAAAGCAAACCAAGACAUGUUUUUUACAGCUCCUAAUAAGCAUAGAUAUCAAAAGUGUAUUCGUUCAUCCAUUUUUAGUUAACUAUUUUUAAUUAACAAUGACCAAACCUUUGAAACUAUCCACUUCUUCAUGAUCCGCUGACAUAGAAAUUAUGCCAAGAAGUUCAAUUGAUAUUUUUUUAACAUUGCUCUUUUCGCCUGAUAAAAAGGAUAUUUUAUUUUGGUUUCUGCAAAAUAUGUAAUCUAAGAUUGUUGACAUACCUAAAUUGUAUGUGAUGUUAUCAUAAUCUUGUCCAUAGUAUGGAGUGGCUUGAGGGUGAUCUGUGAAAUUCUUCAACACAAACAAUCAUAUAUAAUGUGUAUAUUGAUUAGAUAUUAGUAACUGAAUAAAUUUGUUUUUCUCA